UUGGGAGCCAGCAGUGUCGGCAGAAUGGUCAAGGUGCAAACAUGUGAACCUCUUACAACGGAUCGAUCUGGAGAGCACAUACAUUUUUUUAAAAAAAUAAAAUUGUUUCCGAUGGUUGGCGUCCCUUCCCUCCUCCUCCUGCUCUCCACUUAACGCUGACAUUUUGUGCAUGCGCUCUAAGAAAACCCUCAUCUGCUUUUCAUCAGGCAAACUCUAUGACACAGGAAACGAGCCAGCCUCACAAUAACUCUUUCCAGUUGCUUUGGAAUUUAAACAAAACUUCUGGCCGGUUGUUGCAUCCAACUUGGUAACCUCAACGUUCUGAGCUGAAGCCAAGCCAAACACAGAAAGGAGAAAGAAAUUCACAGCCUUCUAAGAAGCAAAAGAGAUAAAGAGGAGAGGGAGAGGGAGGGAGGGAGGAGAGGAGAGAGACUCAGGGAAUUUGGACUGGAGGAGGACCCGUGUAAGAGAAGAAAUUGCAUCCUGCUGAUGGCGUGAGGCCUUGGGAAAUCAGCUCCAUCGCAAACAAUUUAGGUAGGAUGAGGAGUCAGCAGGUGUGGAUCACAAUAGGGCAGGCUCACUAGGCCUCCCGCCUUGGCUGAAAUCCGACGCCAGCUUGCUCAGAAACAAGGAGUUUCGUAGCACCAUGGAUGUGAACUGUGGCGCAUACCUGAGCUAAGGAUGGUACCAAGAGAUAUGACCAAGGACGAAUGCUGGAGAUGAAAUCCACGUGUAUUCUUCUCGACUCAAAAGGGACACGUCAGAAGUGGAGCCACGAAGCCUUCUGCGCAGGCGCCCUGGCUCCGUGUGGGUUUAACAGGCUGCAAUUAAAUGCACACCAGAGCUCCACCAAAGCAACGAAAGAGACUUCCCUCCAGCAACGCAGAUGCAAAAAAAAUCCCGCCGGCUUUGAUUGACUGUGGCAACGCACACGUUGCAGGAGACACCGCCUCCUCCCUUCUAUCCUGACUGGGUUUUUGGACGCUUAAAAAGGCUGGGUGCUUUCCAGAACGAAGAUGUGUCUUUAA